rnacentral:rRNA from 1 species
UACGUAGGGUGCAGGCGUUAAUCGGAAUUACUGGGCGUAAAGCGUGCGCAGGCGGUUUGCUAAGACCGGUGUGAAAUCCCCGGGCUUAACCUGGGAACUGCGCUUGUAACUGGCAAGCUAGAGUGUGGCAGAGGGGGGUGGAAUUCCACGUGUAGCAGUGAAAUGCGUAGAGAUGUGGAGGAACACCGAUGGCGAAGGCAGCCCCCUGGGCUAACACUGACGCUCAUGCACGAAAGCGUGGGGAGCAAACAGG